CUGAAAAGCAGGAGUAAACCCUCUGACUACAAAGGUUGAGGAGUGUUAUGCUCAAGUACAGAUGUUUGCCACGUACUUGUUAAAUAUUCAUUUUAUUGUUCAUGAGCUGCAAGUCGGAGUGGAGUUCAAAAGAGAAUACGUCGCAUCUCCAGUAACAUAUACUGGAGUAGAGGGAGAUCUAAAACAAAGAGGGACAGAAAUAUUAAGCUCAAGCAUCAAGGGCCUUGAUGAUAUCAUCAACACUUGAAACUGUGAAGUCUCCACCCUCUUCAAUGUUUGCAGCCUUCACCUUGAGGUCAUCGACCAGUAGAGCAAACCUCCUUGACCUGAUCCCUAGUCCCUUCUCUUUUAGGUCAAGCUCAACACCCAGAGCAUGGGUGUAAGUUGCAGAGCCAUCUGCCAAGAACUUCACGUGCUUGUUCUCUGGGAAGGUCUUUGCCCAAGCUUUCAUCACAAAUGGAUCAUUCACUGCAGAUAUAGUUUAUCCAAAUAACCAUGUCAGAUUGUCAGGAUAUGUCCAUAUCUCCCAAUUAAAAUGGUGAGCAACUUUUGCUUUUUAACUUCUCUCCACGAAUCCCAAAACUCAAUAUCAUGUUUGUUUACCAAAAUCCAGGCCAUGGCAUCCGCAGGGAAGACAAGAAUUCAGUAGAAUAUAAUACUGAAUUUUCACAAUAUAUGACUCAAGCACGGACCAUUCAUAACCAUCAUUUCCAAAAAUACACUUUUCAAGACCAAGAACUAAAUCUCAAUCCAAAUCUUAAGUAAGUCUGUCAUAUAUUCAUUUGGUUAGAGUUCUCUUCACUCGUUUAUAGCUGUGGAGAAUUCAAUUUUACAAUAUUGCUACAGAACCUAAUUCAUUCUAAUUCGUCAAAGGGGCCAGUCAGCAGGUGGGUAGAAAUGAAUUCUGCUAAUUGAACAAACAGGACAUUGAAAUCUAGUUUGUAAGCUAGAAAACGAAGAGCGGAAUUAGAUCAUUAUUGUCAAACAAAUGGGAGGGGGAGGGAAUCGAGCAACUACCGCUAAUAGUGAUUAUCUCUGCAACACCUUUGGCUUUGAGGUCAUCCGCUCUUUCGAUGAAUCCAGGUACAUGCUUCAAGC
rnacentral:lncRNA from 1 species